rnacentral:rRNA from 1 species
GACGAACGCUGGCGGCGUGCUUAACACAUGCCAGUCGAACGCUGAAGCUCAGCUUGCUGGGUGGAUGAGUGGCGAACGGGUGAGUAACACGUGAGUAACCUGCCCUCUUCUUUGGGAUAACGCCCGGAAACGGGUGCUAAUACUGGAUAUUCACUGAUUCUCGCAUGGGGGUUGGUGGAAAGGUUUUUUCUGGUGGGGGAUGGGCUCGCGGCCUAUCAGCUUGUUGGUGGGGUGAUGGCCUACCAAGGCUUUGACGGGUAGCCGGCCUGAGAGGGUGACCGGUCACAUUGGGACUGAGAGACGGCCCAGACUCCUACGGGAGGCAGCAGUGGGGAAUAUUGCACAAUGGGCGAAAGCCUGAUGCAGCGACGCCGCGUGAGGGAUGGAGGCCUUCGGGUUGUAAACCUCUUUCGCUCAUGGUCAAGCCGCAGCUUUGGGUUGUGGUGAGGGUAGUGGGUAAAGAAGCGCCGGCUAACUACGUG